UGAGGAAUAUUGGACAAUGGGCGCAAGCCUGAUCCAGCCAUGCCGCGUGCAGGAAGAAGCAUCUAUGGUGUGUAAACUGCUUUUGUACGGGAAGAAACACUCCUACGUGUAGGAGCUUGACGGUACCGUAAGAAUAAGGAUCGGCUAACUCCGUGCCAGCAGCCGCGGUAAUACGGAGGAUCCAAGCGUUAUCCGGAAUCAUUGGGUUUAAAGGGUCCGUAGGCGGUUUAAUAAGUCAGUGGUGGAAGCCCAUCGCUCAACGAUGGAACGGCCAUUGAUACUGUAAGUCUUGAAUUACAAAGAAGUAACUAGAAUAUGUAGUGUAGCGGUGAAAUGCUUAGAUAUUACAUGGAAUACCAAUUGCGAAGGCAGGUUACUACUAGUGGAUUGACGCUGAUGGACGAAAGCGUGGGGAGCGGACA
rnacentral:rRNA from 1 species